rnacentral:misc_RNA from 1 species
AAGUCGUAACAAGGUUUCCGUAGGUGAACCUGCGGAAGGAUCAUUACUGAGUUAGGGUCUUCAUGGCCCGACCUCCAACCCUUGUGUUAAACAUACCACGUUGCUUCGGCGGGCCCGUCCUCUCGAGGACCGCCGGGGAGGUUUCCACCUCUCUGGCCCGUUGCCCGUCGGUGGCCAAACCACAAAACUCUUGAUAAACACUGUCGUCUGAGUUACAUUUAUUUAAUUAAAAAUAACA